AUAAACCGUGUGUGUGUGUGUGUGUGUGUGUGUGUGUAUACACACACACACACACACACAUAUAUAUAUGAUUAAUGC